ACAGAGGCGGCAAGCGUUGUUCGGAAUUAUUGGGCGUAAAGAGCACGUAGGCGGCCUUGCAAGUCGGUUGUGAAAGCCUUCCGCUUAACGGAAGAAUGGCGGUCGAAACUGCAUGGCUUGAGUGCGGGAGGGGAGAGUGGAACUUCUGGUGGAGCGGUGAAAUGCGUAGAUAUCAGAAGGAACGCCGGCGGCGAAAGCGACUCUCUGGUCCGAAACUGACGCUGAGUGUGCGAAAGCUAGGGGAGCAAACGG
rnacentral:rRNA from 1 species